GAUGAACGCUAGCUACAGGCUUAACACAUGCAAGUCGAGGGGCAGCAUGAAUAUUGGCUUGCCAAUAUUUGAUGGCGACCGGCGCACGGGUGAGUAACACGUAUCCAACCUUCCGGUUACUCGGGGAUAGGCUUUCGAAAGAAAGAUUAAUACCCGAUGUUGUGUAUCUUUCUCCUGAAAGAUACGCCAAAGGAUUCCGGUAACCGAUGGGGAUGCGUUCCAUUAGGCAGUUGGCGGGGUAACGGCCCACCAAACCUUCGAUGGAUAGGGGUUCUGAGAGGAAGGUCCCCCACAUUGGAACUGAGACACGGUCCAAACUCCUACGGGAGGCAGCAGUGAGGAAUAUUGGUCAAUGGACGGAAGUCUGAACCAGCCAAGUAGCGUGAAGGAUGACUGCCCUCUGGGUUGUAAACUUCUUUUAUACGGGAAUAACAUGAGGUACGCGUACCUUAUUGCAUGUACCGUUAUGAAUAAGCAUCGGCUAACUCCGUGCCAGCAGCCGCGGUAAUACGGAGGAUGCGAGCGUUAUCCGGAUUUAUUGGGUUUAAAGGGAGCGUAGGUGGGAUAUUAAGUCAGCUGUGAAAGUUUGGGGCUCAACCUUAAAAUUGCAGUUGAUACUGGUUUCCUUGAGUACGGUACAGGUGGGCGGAAUUCGUGGUGUAGCGGUGAAAUGCUUAGAUAUCACGAAGAACUCCGAUCGCGAAGGCAGCUCACCGGGCCGGAACUGACACUGAUGCUCGAAAGUGCGGGUAUCAAACAGGAUUAGAUACCCUGGUAGUCCGCACAGUAAACGAUGAAUACUCGCUGUUUGCGAUACACUGUAAGCGGCCAAGCGAAAGCGUUAAGUAUUCCACCUGGGGAGUACGCCGGCAACGGUGAAACUCAAAGGAAUUGACGGGGGCCCGCACAAGCGGAGGAACAUGUGGUUUAAUUCGAUGAUACGCGAGGAACCUUACCCGGGCUUAAAUUGCGCUGGCUUUUACCGGAAACGGUAUUUUCUUCGGACCAGCGUGAAGGUGCUGCAUGGUUGUCGUCAGCUCGUGCCGUGAGGUGUCGGCUUAAGUGCCAUAACGAGCGCAACCCUUAUCUUUAGUUACUACCAGUUUUGCUGAGGACUCUAAAGAGACUGCCGUCGUAAGAUGCGAGGAAGGUGGGGAUGACGUCAAAUCAGCACGGCCCUUACGUCCGGGGCUACACACGUGUUACAAUGGGGAGCACAGCAGGUUGCUACACGGCGACGUGAUGCCAAUCCGUAAAACUCCUCUCAGUUCGGAUCGAAGUCUGCAACCCGACUUCGUGAAGCUGGAUUCGCUAGUAAUCGCGCAUCAGCCACGGCGCGGUGAAUACGUUCCCGGGCCU
rnacentral:rRNA from 1 species